rnacentral:rRNA from 1 species
UCGCUAGUAAUCGCGGAUCGGAAUGCCGCGGUGAAUACGUUCUCGGGCCUUGUACACACCGCCCGUCACACCAUGGGAGUCGGUAACACCCGAAGUCUGUAGCCUGACGCAAGAGGGCGCAGCCGAAGGUGGGAUUGAUGACUGGGGUGAAGUCGUAACAAGGUAAC